CCUACGGGGGGCAGCAGUGGGGAAUAUUGCACAAUGGGGGAAACCCUGAUGCAGCGACGCCGCGUAAGUGAGGAAGUAUUUCGGUAUGUAAAGCUCUAUCAGCAGGGAAGAAAAUGACGGUACCUGACUAAGAAGCCCCGGCUAACUACGUGCCAGCAGCCGCGGUAAUCCGUAGGGGGCAAGCGUUAUCCGGAUUUACUGGGUGUAAAGGGAGCGUAGACGGCUAAUCAAGUCAGAAGGGAAAACCCAGGGCUCAACCUUGGGACUGCUUUUGAAACUGAGUAGCUAGAGUGCCGGAGAGGUAAGCGGAAUUCCUAGUGUAGCGGUGAACUGCGUAGAUAUUAGGAGGAACACCAGUGGCGAAGGCGGCUUACUGGACUGUACCUGACGUUGAGGCUCGAAAGCGUGGGGAGCAAACAGGAUUAGAUACCCGGGUAGUC
rnacentral:rRNA from 1 species